CCUACGGGCGGCAGCAGUGGGGAAUAUUGCACAAUGGGGGGAACCCUGAUGCAGCGACGCCGCGUGAGUGAAGAAGUAUUUCGGUAUGUAAAGCUCUAUCAGCAGGGAAGAAAAUGACGGUACCUGACUAAGAAGCCCCGGCUAACUACGUGCCAGCAGCCGCGGUAAUACGUAGGGGGCAAGCGUUAUCCGGAUUUACUGGGUGUAAAGGGAGCGUAGACGGUUAUGCAAGUCUGAAGUGAAAGCCUGAGGCUCAACCAUGGAACUGCUUUGGAAACUGUAAAACUGGAGUGCAGGAGAGGUAAGCGGAAUUCCUAGUGUAGCGGUGAAAUGCGUAGAUAUUAGGAAGAACACCAGUUGCGAAGGCGGCUUACUGGACUGCAACUGACGUUGUUGCUCGAAGGCGUGGGGAGCAAACAGGAUUAGAUACCCUUGUAGUC
rnacentral:rRNA from 1 species